AUUGAACGCUGGCGGCGUGCCUAACACAUGCAAGUCGAGCGGUAACAGGUGUAGCAAUACAUGCUGACGAGCGGCGGACGGGUGAGUAACGCUUGGGAAUCUGCCUAUUAGUGGGGGACAACCCGGGGAAACUCGGGCUAAUACCGCAUACGCUCUACGGAGGAAAGCCGGGGACCGCAAGGCCUGGCGCUAAUAGAUGAGCCCAAGUCGGAUUAGCUAGUUGGUAGGGUAAGGCCUACCAAGGCGACGAUCCGUAACUGGUCUGAGAGGACGACCAGUCACACCGGAACUGAGACACGGUCCGGACUCCUACGGGAGGCAGCAGUGGGGAAUAUUGGACAAUGGGCGAAAGCCUGAUCCAGCGACGCCGCGUGGGUGAAGAAGGCCUGCGGGUUGUAAAGCCCUUUCAGUGGGGAAGAAAGCCUCGACCUACACGUCGGGGUCUUGACGUAACCCAUAGAAGAAGCACCGGCUAACUCUGUGCC
rnacentral:rRNA from 1 species